AGAACUGCAGACGCAAGGAUUCAAGACAGAGAAGAAAAUCUGCAGCAAUUCGGCUUCCCCAUGGCUGAAUUUAUUUAUUUUGUUGCUCCCAAUUCAAGUAUGUCUAGCUAAUUUUCUUACACUAAGGUUAAGGAUGAAACCCUAUUCAAUAAAAUAAUUAUCUUUUUAUUUAAUUAAUUCCCUAUAUAUGUUCUUUGAUGAUUAUGGUUUUUAUUUCACAUGAUUAAUUAGAUGUUAAUAAAAUCUUUUCAUCAAUUCUGUCAUGCAUUAUUGAUUGUUAGGAUUAAUAUUCGAUUAAUUCUAUGCUUGGAUCUAUAAAGUUUAUACAUGAUUAUCUUUGAUUUUAUGUCUUUCAUUAAAUUGUUUACAUGGAGUGCUUAGGAAACUUUGACUCUUUGUUAUUCAAUAUGUUUACAUGAGAUUCUUAGAUGUCAUAUUAUUAAGCAGAAAAAGAACCUACAUUAGAUUUAAUUACUUGGGCUUAAUUGUUAUAUCCAUGAGAUGACAUAGAUUGAUUUCGAGUUGUCACUCUAAAAUUGGGGAUUAAUUAAUAAUUAGAUAAUUACUAGUUGAAUAGUGGUGGAUUUCGAAACCUUGGUAAUUUUUAUCUCAUUGAAUUCUCAUUUGUUUUAAUUGUUUUCUUAGUUUAAUUAGUUUAAUUUCUCUUAAAACUCAAUUUGGUCAACUAGGUUAGAAUUAAUAUUAAUUUUAGAUUUAAAUUAGACUUUUCAAUUUAUAACAAUCCCUAUGGGAUCGACCUCGUUACCACUACUCUAUUUCUAAAUUCGUGCGCUUGCGAGUACAUUAAAAUUUUCACAACAGAAGUCUAGUUUCAUUCACAUAAAUGGUAAGUUGAUAUCUCGACGUGUUAUUCUUUUAAUUGCAAAAAGAUAGAAAAGCCACUCGGCAAAAGCAACUUUUUGAAACGCAUAUAUAUAUAAUACACAGGCACUAUUUGAUCAUAAUUUGAGAAUUGAGAAUAGAGGUUUCUUGAAGCCUUACGUAUAGAUAGAUGUAAAUUAAACAAAAACAAGUGUCUUGCAUGCUUGACCAAUUUGAUAAUUUAUCACAUCACAAAUAAUUUAGCAUUAAUUGAAUUGCGACUGAUGUCAUAUAAAAUGCGUACCCAGCUAAAAUAAGGCACUUGUUUUUGUAAUAGGGAGUCCGAAGUUGAUGCUAUCACUGCUUAUGAUCUGCUUUCCACAGAAGCACACACAUUUGCUAAGAAAAACCCCUAGUUUGCUACAAUUCUUACAAUUUUUCUGUGUCUCCAUGAGAGGGAAUUAAUCAAUUCAGUCAUCAAAUUCAAAGCAAACUAAAUCUUUGAAAAAUGCAGUGCUAUUGCUCCGGCUUAAUUUUGAUAAAGUAUUCGGUAAACAAAUUCUUUAUUAGAAGUUGGCAAGAUAUCUUAUGGAGUACACGUCAAUUCUAGAAUAGAGCUUUAAUGUAUCUAGCAAAGUAUGUGACGAUUUAGCAAUGAACAUAAGCACUUGCUUAAGGUUUCAAUUAUCAAUAAAAUGAGAAUCCAUGCGUCUUUCUUGUAGGCGAAAACGGUCCAUGUUAAGUACCCAUGACGGCUCAACUGUGUCUCAUUCUCUCGGAGAGGGGCCGGUGACAGUAUUCUGAUGAAUCUGUCUCAGAAGAUUAUUCGCCUUUUUUAUCUAACGCAAACACCACUUUCUUGGCUCAGAGAACCAAGAGUUUGCCGUUCUUUGCUUAAUGGAAACUGAAAGAAAUAAACAAUUACAAAUUGAAAUUAAAUGUCAUAUGCUUUGCUCCAGUUUAGAUAACAAAAGACAAUAGGCCAUAAGUUAAUUCAAUGAAGGAAGCAUGAAGAGUGUUAGUGUUGGGUGGUAUUAUCAAAUCCAAGCAUAUUAUUAAAUUCAAAAUCAAA
rnacentral:lncRNA from 1 species